rnacentral:rRNA from 1 species
UACGGAGGGUGCAAGCGUUAUCCGGAUUUACUGGGUUUAAAGGGUGCGCAGGCGGCUAUGUAAGUCAGUGGUGAAAUCUCCGGGCUUAACCCGGAAACUGCCGUUGAUACUAUAUAUCUUGAAUGCUGUGGAGGUAAGCAGAAUAUGUCAUGUAGCGGUGAAAUGCUUAGAGAUGACAUAGAAUACCUAUUGCGAAGGCAGCUUACUACGCAGAUAUUGACGCGCAUGCACGAAAGCGUGGGGAUCAAACAGG